GAGUGCCUGUGCAACGCGCGUGUGUGCUUUGGAGCUGCAGCCUCAAGUCGAGUGCACGGGUAAAGGUUCACAGGACAGGUCUGAAAGGUCAACCUCAAUCAUAUUUGGCUGUGGAUAUCACUGCAACUUUGGCACUCGACCAAGCGAGGUACAUUGGACAGAUCAACCGGACCAAAAGGCGGGG